UGCACAAAGCGCUGGCCAGGCCGUGGCAUUGCCAUGCAGCCCAGCUCUGCGGCGCAGGCUCCUGCUGCCAGCUCCAAAGGAAAUGUACACGGGGGUUUCUGUACAGCACCAUAUGGGAAGAAUGCGGAAGGACGGCUGGUUUCUCCAGGCUGGUGAGGAGCUGCCAUCAGAAAGCAACAUUUCAAAUGGAAGGAGUGAGUAACAGCGUCCCAGCCACAGCAAGCAGUGUCCCAGCAAGCAGGGAGAUGCCUGCCUGCACAGCCAGCAGUUUCCCACCUGCAAACUCCUAGAUUUUACUGCGCACUUUAUCUCUUACUCGGCUCCAUGAUGUCUUUACCAGCACAUCUUUUGCACCUGGCACUUCAGGCAAACAGCAGCUGAAAGAGAACUCUGUAACAUGUCCAUAAUAGACUGCUCCCCUGCCUUCAGGAGCAAGUGGCCAUUUCAAUGGCUGCAGAUGUUUGUGCAAGAAUGGACACUGCUCCACCAUUCUCUGGUAAUGCCAGAGUCCUUGUAGUCAACAGCUUGAGCUCUUUAAUUCAUGAUACAGUCUUUUUGCUAAAAGGUCUCAAGGAAACACUGAUAGCUUCUGCUUCAGAUGUUCUCUGCAGACUGUGUAAGGGAUGUGUUGGUUUAGAAGGUCACAUUGAUGUCCUAUAUUUACUUAGAGUAAAGGCCUUCAUUGUAUUUUUCUGAUUCUGUCUGCCUGAAUGGAUUGCAGGUUAGCUAUGCAGCUUGCUGAAUUCUGAACACAGAAAAAAACCCCAAGUAUGCUAUAACUGGUUCUCAUUAAACUGUUAAAUGGAAUACUAAAAGGUAGCUUAAAAUCAGGUGCGUUUAAUAAAGUUAUAUUUGAAUUGGCA